GCGGCUGUGGUGGAAUUGGUAGACACGCAGGCUUCAGGUGCCUGUGGGGGCAACCCCAUGGAGGUUCGAGUCCUCUCAGCCGCA
rnacentral:tRNA from 1 species